UACGUAGGGGGCAAGCGUUGUCCGGAUUUAUUGGGCGUAAAGAGCGUGUAGGCGGUCUGGUAGGUCCGUUGUGAAAACUCGAGGCUCAACCUCGAGACGCCGAUGGAAACCAUCAGACUAGAGUCCGGAAGAGGAGAGUGGAAUUCCUGGUGUAGCGGUGAAAUGCGCAGAUAUCAGGAAGAACACCCGUGGCUAAGGCGGCUCUCUAGUACGGUACUGACGCUGAGGAGCGAAAGCGUGGGGAGCGAACAGA
rnacentral:rRNA from 1 species